UGUUUUAAAACGCACUUUUCAACCACUAUUUUAAAUUUAAUUUGACGAAUUUUUGGGACCAACUUAACUCAUGUUUAGUACUUCCAUAGUUAACUUGGUUUUUCUUCUAUACAUUGAUAAAUAUUACCUUAAAGAAAAUUAGGUAGAUUCCGUGCUACAAGUACUUUGAGAAUCUUCCGCAGGUUUGUCCCAAUUUACCCCAGGAUCCCAAUUUACCCCAUGUCAUGGUAUAUAUAUUCAUUCGACAAUUCUACAUUUUUAGGAACAGCUUCAGCAUAGAUUAAACACUUAAUGUAUUUGAGCUUCAGCAAGCACGACUGAAAUGAAUUCUUCAAAUUAUGCUUUUCAAUUUCAUUUCAUGAAAUUAAGUACGAAACUACUACAACGCUUCAACCACAAAAAUGGCGGUCGAGAUAAGAAAACGUUUUGAAAUUUCGGAGUUAAUUGAAGGCAUUUUCCACAUAAACGAAAUAGUAAAAUGUUCAAGAUGACUGGAUGCUGAUGAAAG